rnacentral:rRNA from 1 species
AGAGUUUGAUCCUGGCUCAGGACGAACGCUGGCGGCGUGCUUAACACAUGCAAGUCGAGCGGUAAGGCCUUUCGGGGUACACGAGCGGCGAACGGGUGAGUAACACGUGGGUGAUCUGCCCUGCACUCUGGGAUAAGCUUGGGAAACUGGGUCUAAUACCGGAUAUGACCACAGCAUGCAUGUGUUGUGGUGGAAAGAUUUAUCGGUGCAGGAUGGGCCCGCGGCCUAUCAGCUUGUUGGUGAGGUAAUGGCUCACCAAGGCGACGAUCCGUAGCUGGUCUGAGAGGAUGAUCAGCCACACUGGGACUGAGACACGGCCCAGACUCCUACGGGAGGCAGCAGUGGGGAAUAUUGGACAAUGGGCGAAAGCCUGAUCCAGCCAUGCCGCGUGUGUGAAGAAGGCCUUCGGGUUGUAAAGCACUUUCAGCGAGGAAGAACGCCUUGGGAUUAAUACUCCCGAAGGAAAGACAUCACUCGCAGAAAAAAGCACCGGCUAACUCCGUGCCAGCAAGCCGCGGGUAAUACGGAGGGUGCAAGCGUUAAUCGGAAUUACUGGGCGUAAAGCGCGCGUAGGUGGCUAAGUCAGCCAGGUGUGAAAGCCCCGGGCUCAACCUGGGAACGGCAUCUGGAACUGCUUGGCUAGAGUGCAGGAGAGGAAGGUAGAAUUCCCGGUGUAGCGGUGAAAUGCGUAGAGAUCGGGAGGAAUACCAGUGGCGAAGGCGGCCUUCUGGACUGACACUGACACUGAGGUGCGAAAGCGUGGGUAGCAAACAGGAUUAGAUACCCUGGUAGUCCACGCCGUAAACGAUGUCAACUAGCCGUUGGGUCCCUUGAGGACUUAGUGGCGCAGCUAACGCAAUAAGUUGACCGCCUGGGGAGUACGGCCGCAAGGUUAAAACUCAAAUGAAUUGACGGGGGCCCGCACAAGCGGUGGAGCAUGUGGUUUAAUUCGAUGCAACGCGAAGAACCUUACCUACCCUUGACAUCCAGAGGACUUUCCAGAGAUGGAUUGGUGCCUUCGGGAACUCUGAGACAGGUGCUGCAUGGCUGUCGUCAGCUCGUGUUGUGAAAUGUUGGGUUAAGUCCCGUAACGAGCGCAACCCCUAUCCUUAUUUGCCAGCGAGUAAUGUCGGGAACUCUAAGGAGACUGCCGGUGACAAACCGGAGGAAGGUGGGGACGACGUCAAGUCAUCAUGGCCCUUACGGGUAGGGCUGCACACGUGCUACAAUGGCAAGUACAAAGGGUUGCAAUACUGCGAAGUGGAGCCAAUCCCAUAAAGCUUGCCUCAGUCCGGAUUGGAGUCUGCAACUCGACUCCAUGAAGUCGGAAUCGCUAGUAAUCGUGGAUCAGAAUGCCACGGUGAAUACGUUCCCGGGCCUUGUACACACCGCCCGUCACACCAUGGGAGUGGACUGCACCAGAAGUGGUUAGCCUAACCUUCGGGAGGGCGAUCACCACGAUGUGGUUCAUGACUGGGGUGAAGUCGUAACAAGGUAACCA